GUGAGGAAUAUUGGUCAAUGGCCGGGAGGCUGAACCAGCCAAGUCGCGUGAGGGAAGACGGCCCUACGGGUUGUAAACCUCUUUUGCCGGGGAGCAACGGCGGUCAUGUAUGACCGGAUGAGAGUACCCGGAGAAAAAGCAUCGGCUAACUCCGUGCCCGCAGCCGCGGUAAUACGGAGGAUGCGAGCGUUAUCCGGAUUUAUUGGGUUUAAAGGGUGCGCAGGCGGGACGCCAAGUCAGCGGUCAAAUUUCGGGGCUCAACCCCGACCUGCCGUUGAAACUGGCGUCCUAGAGUGGGCGAGAAGUAUGCGGAAUGCGUGGUGUAGCGGUGAAAUGCAUAGAUAUCACGCAGAACUCCGAUUGCGAAGGCAGCAUACCGGCGCCCCACUGACGCUCAUGCACGAAAGCGUGGGUAUCGAACAGG
rnacentral:rRNA from 1 species